rnacentral:rRNA from 1 species
GGCGGCGUGCCUAAUACAUGCAAGUCGAACGGAGAUUGUAGCAAUACGAUCUUAGUGGCGAACGGGUGAGUAACGCGUUGGUGACCUGCCCCGAAGUGUGGGAUACUGGUUCGAAAGGACCAAUAAUACCGCAUGUGAUCCCGGAGAUUAGCAGUCCGGGAUGAAAGGAGUAAUUCGCUUCGGGAGGGACCUGCGUCCCAUCAGCUAGUUGGUAGGGUAGUGGCCUACCAAGGCGAUGACGGGUAGGGGACCUGAGAGGGUGGCCCCCCACAAUGGAACUGAAACACGGUCCAUACACCUACGGGUGGCAGCAGUAGGGAAUAUUGGUUAAUGUGCGAAAGCGCGAACCAGCAACGCCGCGUGUGCGAUGAAGGCCUUCGGGUCGUAAAGCACUUUUUGCAGGGACGAGGAAGGACGGUACCUGCAGAAUAAGUCUCGGCUAACUACGUGCCAGCAGCCGCGGUAAAACGUAGGAGACGAGCGUUAUCCGGAUUUACUGGGCGUAAAGCGCGUGCAGGCGGCAUGGCAAGUUGGAUGUGAAAGCUCCUGGCUUAACUGGGAGAGGUCGUUCAAUACUGCCAAGCUUGAGAGUGGUAGAGGGAAGCGGAAUUCCGGGUGUAGUGGUGAAAUGCGUAGAUAUCCGGAGGAACACCAGUGGCGAAAGCGGCUUCCUGGUCCAUUUCUGACGCUCAGACGCGAAAGCUAGGGUAGCAAACGGGAUUAGAGACCCCGGUAGUCCUAGCCGUAAACGAUGUGAACUAGGCGUCGGCGGGUUCAAAUCCGUCGGUGCCGCAGCAAACGCGAUAAGUUCACCGCCUGGGGACUACGGCCGCAAGGUUAAAACUCAAAGGAAUUGACGGGGGCCCGCACA